ensembl:misc_RNA Metazoa_SRP Metazoan signal recognition particle RNA
GCCAGGUGAGGUGGCAUGUGCCUAUAAUGCCAGCUACUCAGGAGGCUGAGGUCAGAGGAUCACUUGAGCCCAGGAGUUCUGGGCUGUAGUGUGCUAUGCUGAUCGGGUGUCUGCACUAUGUUCAGCAUCUCCCAGGAGCAGGGGACCACCAGGUUGCCUAAGGAGGGGUGAACUGGCCCAGGUCAGAAAAGGAGAAGGUCAAAACUCUCAUGCUGAUCAGUAAUGGGAUCAUGCCUGUGAAUAGCCACUGCACUCCAGCCUGAGCAACAUAACGAGGCCCCAUCUCUU